GAGACAGGUCCUGUAGGGAGCAGUCACCAGCUGGCUAGAUAAAGACUCUCCAAUUUGGGCAGAAUUCAGACUGAGGGUGUUUUCUGAGUGACUGGCCCACAACAAAAUGGUGGUACAUUCUACAAGGAUGCAGUGAGGAUAUGUCAAUUUGGGGUUCUCUCAGGAGCCUGCAGGGAGAGAGAGGUCCCAAGCACAGAGGAACCCCAAUUUGGGGUUCAGUGCCUGUUACGUUCUGAGGAUCAUCUGGCCCAAAAUACCUUUUAAUUGCAGACAAGGCCCCCAUUCUGCUUCUUACAAGCCUGGAAUCUUGCUUCUUAGUCUUGACAUUCUUUCUGGGACUGGGGCCAUCUCCCCUUACUUGUGUCUACAGGGCCCAGGAGUUGUCUUUUGUACUCGGUAAGGACUUGGCUGGGAGGCCUAAAACCACCCUCCAACAAGGGCACAGAAGGAAUCACUUUCAUCUUCUCUUGUCUCUAGGCUCCUGCUUGUCCAUGUCAGUUCAGUCCUUCAUAAAGGGCAUUGAGGUGUCCACGUGGAAGACACCCCACUGGCUCUGCAAGGUGGUUUCAGAUGAGCUCUUCUUAAUCUUCCUACCCUGCAGCCUCCUCCUGCUUCCACAUACUUUGGACCUCUUGUGAGGCCUUCAGCAAAUGUAUGGAGAAUGUCAUUAAAAUUUUGCUUAGAUAA